GUGGAAAAAGCAGCGAAGUCUUUAAACCCAUUGUGACGCAAUGAAUUUAUUUGAAAUUUCUCCACUUAUUGAUCAGGUCAAAAAUACCCUUCCUCAUGCUAGCGCAGAAGGUUAGGUGUCUAGUGCCCUUGGAAUAAAUUUUUAUUCCAUGUCCAUGUAGUUUGUGUAAUUUUAGUCCAUGGAACCUUUUAGUGAAACCCUAGCUGCUUGCUACUCCACUCCUAUAUAAUGUUCUUUUCUGGUGGGUGAGGUAACAAGGAUUGGUGUGGCCUUUCUAUUUCAUGAUUGGUUACAGAGAUGGGAAGAAGAGGGCAAGGGAGAGGAGUUACAGGAAACUAUGGGGAUGGGAUGGUUGGGAAGAAGACAAUUGUUCCUUUUGUUUUCACUUUCUGAAAGAGUGUGGAAACCUUAAAUCUUCUUUCCGAGCCCUCCCAUUCCUGUGAUUUCCGGAUUUUCCUCCUUUUCUCCUCCUUUCAACAGACUUAUAUCUGAGAAGUGUAAGAAGAAAUCAUCUAAGAAGGCAAGGGAGAUGUAAACUACAGUAACUCUUUUGAUGGGUGGGGGGAUCUCAAGGAGACGAAGAAAGAGAAUCUCUCUUUCUCUCUCUCUCUCUCUCUCUCACACACACACACACACAUACGCACACAGAGGAAUCCCAGUCUUCUAAGUUAUGCUUUCUUACAUUUACAGAGAAAGUCAGGCGUUCCAAAAUCAUUUUUGCUACUUUUCCAUUUUGUUUUGGAACACCUGACUCUUGCUGUUAAUGGGGUUUAUUAUUUAUAUAUUAUGAAGGGGAGGGAUAGGGUAUUGUUCUAAGAGGUUGAAAGGGCUGGAAACUCUGUUUUUUCUACUGGUCAGGGUAACAAAAACUUGAAGAUAAUCAAGAAUGGAUCUCUUAGAUUUUUAAGUUCUUGGUUUCAAUGAAGUGGGUUUCUGUGAUAAUCUUGUUAUUUUGGAGCUUGGACUGAUAAUUGAGUGGAAAAUGUGGUGAAAAGGAACAGGUGAACAGAAGAGGAGUUGCAAGGAUGGAUGGAUAGGGAGGUACAUGAUGUGUUGCGAUCUUAGUUGAGCCCUAUCAUUUUCUGAAGGAAGAGACCUAUUCUAUCAUGUGUUAAGUCUAAUAUUUUUUUUGUGCAAAGAUCAAUUUAUGUUAGUCUUAUUGACAGAUUACCAUUAUGUGGCUCCACGAUCUUUGUUUGUAUCAGAGAGACAGAGCCUAUUGGCUGUGUACACUGUACGCAUACUUAUCAUUACAAAAUUUCCAUCAUACAAAUGAAAGAUAAUAAAACUCUCAAAAUGCUAAUAA